CUGUUUUAGAAUUCACUGGUAAUCAAUCAUAGUUGAUGCAAAACAUUGUUGAAUUAAAACGUUCUGCUGACACGUUCACAAGAAUUUGCCAUUGUUUUCUCUUUCAGAAACUGACAGUCCUUUUCCAGAUACAGCAUAAAUUACUGCUAAAGAUUAAAACAUCCUGCCAACAAAAUAUCACCAAAUCCCGGGAGGAACCACCGGUGCAGCCAAUGAUGAACUUAUACCCAAGAACUCUGAUGGGGGACCAGAGGAGGAGCUUCAAGGCGGCCUGGUACCAUAUCCACCCCUAGGCCAAGCAUAUGACGGUGCUUCCGUUAUGAGUGGCAAGCAUUCAGGCGUCCAGGCACACAUUGAAGAACAAGCAAAGCCUUUUACAUCCACUGCAGUGCACACUGUCUAAACUUAAUUUUAGUGGAUAUAGUCAAAGCUGUCCCUGAGGUCGGACAGUUCUUCUGCUUACUAGAAAGACUUUACGUCUUCACAUCCGGGUCAUAUGUGCAUCAAAAAUGGCUUAGCAUACAAAAAGAGAUGUACCCAGGUGCACCUAGAGAGCUUCAGAGACUAAGUGACACUAGCUGGGCAUGUCGAUAUAUGGCUCUACAUACUAUUAUGGAUAGAUUACCUGCCAUUAAGCGAGUUCUGCAAGAUAUAGUCCAAGAACACAAUGGUGACAGAUCUGUUGAGGCACGAGGUCUGCUUGCACAGAUAGAUUUACAAUUCAUUGUGUGCCGUGGUACACUCCAUAAAGUGUUUGGAGAAGCAGAAUUUCUAUCAGAUAUGCUACAGUCUUCAUCACUUGACCUGUCAAAGGCUGUUGAUUUAGUUGAAGCCUUAGUUCAAACUUUGAAUGACUACAGGGAUGAGUCAUUUUUUGAUGACCUAUGGAAUGAAGUGUUGAACACAGCUGAGCAAUGUGAUACUGCAAUACACCCCCCUGCAAAACGACCAAAAAAGCUAAGCUUCAAUUUAAUGGAGUCUGUGUACUCAGUACAGUGGGUCAGAGGUCAGAUUCAGAACAAGAAAAAGGCAGUUUUCGUACAACCCUUUUUUAGAUCAUAUGCUCAAUGAGCGUAACAGAAGGUUCCCUAUCAAACACUGUGACAUAAUGAAUGGCAUCCAAACUCUAAACCCUACAAGUGACGUGUUUCUCAAAGAGAAGUCCCGGUUUCCAUUUGCUAGAAUGUAUGAAUCAAAUAUUGAGGACUUGGGACAUGAACUACAGCAGUUCAGAAGAAUUUUAGAGAGGAAAAUACAGUGGCAUGCAGAGACCCUCCAGUGUAGUAGAGCUGGCAUUAUUCAUUGAGCCUUAUAAAUAAGUUUUCUUUGCGCUCUUUAAACUGUGCAAGAUAGCUGUUUCAAUCCCUGUUAGUACUGCUUCUUGUGAAAUACAUUUUUCUGCACUAAAACUGGUGAAAACGUAUCUCAGGUCUACAAUGUCAGAUGACAGAUUAAACAAUUUAGGUGUAUUAAGUAUUGAGUCAAGGAGGGCAAAGGCUUUGAGUCUAGAUUAAUUUGCUGAUCUUUUUGCAAAAAAACA
ensembl:lncRNA